rnacentral:rRNA from 1 species
UACAUAGGGGGCGAGCGUUGUCCGGAUUUAUUGGGCGUAAAGAGCUCGUAGGCGGUUCGAUAAGUCGGACGUGAAAUCUCCACGCUCAACGUGGAGGGGCCGUUCGAUACUGUCGUGACUCGAGUCCGGUAGGGGAGUGUGGAAUUCCCGGUGUAGCGGUGAAAUGCGCAGAGAUCGGGAGGAACACCCGUAGCGAAGGCGGCACUCUGGGCCGGUACUGACGCUGAGGAGCGAAAGCGUGGGGAGCAAACAGG